GACGAACGCUGGCGGCGUGCUUAACACAUGCCAGUCGAACGGAAAGGCCCUGCUUUUGUGGGGUGCUCGAGUGGCGAACGGGUGAGUAACACGUGAGUAACCUGCCCUUGACUUUGGGAUAACUUCAGGAAACUGGGGCUAAUACCGGAUAGGAGCUCCUGCUGCAUGGUGGGGGUUGGAAAGUUUCGGCGGUUGGGGAUGGACUCGCGGCUUAUCAGCUUGUUGGUGGGGUAGUGGCUUACCAAGGCUUUGACGGGUAGCCGGCCUGAGAGGGUGACCGGCCACAUUGGGACUGAGAUACGGACCAGACUCCUACGGGAGGCAGCAGUGGGGAAUAUUGCACAAUGGGCGGAAGCCUGAUACAGCAACGCCGCGUGCGGGAUGACGGCCUUCGGGUUGUAAACCGCUUUCGCCUGUGACGAAGCGUGAGUGACGGUAAUGGGUAAAGAAGCACCGGCUAACUACGUG
rnacentral:rRNA from 1 species